AUUAGGUUCAGAGGAGAAACCUAAUCGCAAAUGAGAACGAUGAUCAUAUGUCCUUAUUAACCUGAUUAAACCCUAACCUUCAAUUUUAUCCAACUUCAGUUCAAUCUCUGUUCAACAAAGUUACUCAAUUAUUAACCUUGAUUCUUUCCAAGGGUUUUCCUAUUAAAAAUUUGGGUGUAGAUUGAGUAAUUUAAAUGGGAUUAUAAAACCCAAAAUCAAAUGGAUUGAUGCUUCUUUUUUCUAAAACCAGAAAUCUAACGACGUCUUAUUUUGAUCGAAUGAUUCUCCUCCUCUCAAAUUCGUAGUAUUUUUUUUUUUGAUGUACUUGAGGUAAAGAAGAAGAUUGUAAUGGAGGUAGUAUGGAUGAGAUAGUGACGGAUGUGGUAGUCCGUGAAGUGGAGAAGAUGUGGUAGUACCUGAAGUGAAGAGGAGAUAAAAGAGGAGCAACCAGAAGAAUAAAUCAAAUGCAAAUUGUUUUGGAACGGGGCGGCAGUUGCACUUUUUGAAGGUUUGCAGGUUUGGAAGUCUUUGUUACAGCAGCAAGUUGUGGCGACAAUUUUUGGUCAGAUUUUCAUCCUCAGAGAUCAAAAUAUCCAGGCAUUCCAUAUGUUGAUGUUUGCACUUUUCCGGGAUUUACGGAACAAAGGUUUAGAAUCCCAAUUGAAGUGAAAUGGAAGUUUUUAGGAAAAAACUCCGAUCCCAUGUUCGUUAGAUGCAAAAAUUGCAUAAUUACCAGACCCUUCUAAUUAAGUUGGAUUCAAACCUGGUUCACAGAUCCUAAAGAAUGGGAGGAUGAUAUGAUUGGUUGGGUAGCAGUGUGUGGCAUUGUGACAUGGAACAUAGGGAAAUCAAGAUGUGAAGUUAUCUUCCGAGAACAAAAACAAACCCCAACAGGAUUGGUUAGAACUAUUGAGAAUGAAAUAACAAUAGACAAGUUGAUAUUCAAGAAAACAAACAAGAAAGACAUGGCUUCAACGAAGGAAAUGGAAAAAUAACCUUGGAUACCAUGAAUCCAAAUUAAGGAGGGUGAGAUAGUAGCAAGGCUGGGAUUUAUGGACAAUAACUAUCAGACAGUGGCUACAUCGGCAUAAAUGACUGAGAGCUUGGCAGCAAAACAAGCAACUCAGUUGGCAACACAAAACUACUUCAAGGUAACUCACACAAGAAGAACAAAAAUGAAGUAGCAGACGCAUUGGCCAAGGAAGGAAGAUCAGGGCCAACGACGAGCUACUGUGCAAAUAACAUCACUCAAAAGAUUUUUGAUUAUUAUGUACGAACUCUAUUUUUUAUUUCAGCAACCAAUCUGUAACUCGCCAUAUGCGAGUGAAAAA